GACGAACGCUGGCGGCGUGCUUAACACAUGCAAGUCGAACGGAAAGGCCCUGCUUUUGGGGGGUUCGCGAGUGGCGAACGGGUGAGUAACGCGUGAGUAACCUGCCCUUGACUUUGGUAUAACUUCAGGAAACUGGGUCUAAUACCGGAUAAGAGCUCCUUCUUCUUGGUGGUGGUUGGAAAGUUUCGUCGGUUGGGGAUGGACUCGCGGCUUCUCAGCUUGUUGGUGGGUGAGUGGCUUACCAAGGCUUGGACGGGUAGCCGGCCUGAGAGGGUGACCGGCCAUAGUGGGAGUGAGACGCGGCAGACACCUCCACGGGAGAGCGGAGGGGAGAAUAUUGCAAUAGGGGCGGGAGCGUGGCGGCGAAGCGGCGCGUGGGGGGAGAGGGCUCUCGUGUUGUACACCGCUCGCGAGUGUGGAGACGUGUGGGGGAGGGGAAUGGAUAAAGAAGCACCGGCAAACUAGGG
rnacentral:rRNA from 1 species